rnacentral:misc_RNA from 1 species
GAUGAAGAACGUAGCGAAAUGCGAUAAGUAGUGUGAAUUGCAGAAUUCAGUGAAUCAUCGAAUCUUUGAACGCACAUUGCACCCCUUGGUAUUCCAUGGGGCAUGCCUGUUCGAGCGUCAUUUGUACCCUCAAGCUUUGCUUGGUGUUGGGUGUUUGUCCCGCGUUGCGCGUGGACUCGCCUUAAAGCGAUUGGCAGCCGGCAUAUUGGCCUUGGAGCGCAGCACAUUUUGCGCUUCUAGUCAUGAAUGUUGGCGUCCAUUAAGCCUAUACAUUUGCUCUUGACCUCGGAUCAGGUAGGGAUACCCGCUGAACUUAAGCAUAUCAAUAAGCGGAGGA